ACAUGCAGUCGAGGGGCAGCAGGGGUAGCAAUACCCGCUGGCGACCGGCAAACGGGUGCGGAACACGUACGCAAUCUACCCAAAACUGAUGAAUAGCCCUCCGAAAGGAGGAUUAAUACAUCGUAACAUCUUAGAGUGGCAUCACUUUAUGAUUAUAGCUCCGGCGGUUUUGGAUGAGCGUGCGGCUGAUUAGGUAGUUGGCAGGGUAACGGCCUACCAAGCCUACGAUCAGUAACUGGUGUGAGAGCACGACCAGUCACACGGGCACUGAGACACGGGCCCGACUCCUACGGGAGGCAGCAGUAAGGAAUAUUGGUCAAUGGACGCAAGUCUGAACCAGCCAUGCCGCGUGAAGGAUGAAGGUCCUCUGGAUUGUAAACUUCUUUUAUAGGGGAAGAAACCCGGAAAUUCUUUUCCGGUUGACGGUACCCUGGGAAUAAGCACCGGCUAACUCCGUGCCAGCAGCCGCGGUAAUACGGAGGGUGCAAGCGUUAUCCGGAUUCACUGGGUUUAAAGGGUGCGUAGGUGGAUCUGUAAGUCAGUGGUGAAAUCUCCAAGCUUAACUUGGAAACUGCCGUUGAUACUAUAGAUCUUGAAUGCUGUGGAGGUGAGCGGAAUAUGUCAUGUAGCGGUGAAAUGCUUAGAUAUGACAUAGAACACCAAUUGCGAAGGCAGCUCACUACCCAGAUAUUGACACUGAGGCACGAAAGCGUGGGGAUCAAACAGGAUUAGAUACCCUGGUAGUCCACGCCCUAAACUAUGGAUACUCGACAUACGCGAUACACUGUGUGUGUCUGAGCGAAAGCAUUAA
rnacentral:rRNA from 1 species